GCCCAGAUAGCUCAAUUGGUAGAGCACGUCCUUGGUAAGGACGAGGUCGUCGGUUCGAGUCCGAUUCUGGGCUCCA
rnacentral:tRNA from 1 species